GUUCAGUGAGUGCUCCUACUUUCCGUGGCACCCAGCCUUCUUUCUCUCCGUGCUCCUCUGCAUUUACCAUCUCGCAGGAACCAAUUGAUGCUGAAAUGGAUAGAAGUAGCACGAGUGAAAACUGAAGCAGAGGCAUCAGGAAGACGCAUCCUCAGAAGCUGUAAGACAGCAUGGCGUGGGAGACGGCCCCUCUGUUUCGUCUCCUCAAGUUCCGUGGCAGACUAGUAAGACUGAGUUUGACACCUUGGGAGAGACACGUCUGCCAAGUUUGUCAUCCAUUAAAUUCACAUUAAAUGAUAAGAGUUGAC
rnacentral:lncRNA from 1 species